CUGGGGAAGGAUCUCUGCUUAGAGAUCCCUCCUUUGUGGAGGCUUUCCUGUGAACUGAAAUCUUCAGAGAUGGGUCUCCCUGAUGGCAUUCACCAGGCUGCCUCCCGCCAUAGUCAUAUCCUGCUGGAAAGUAAAUCGAGGCACACAUUCAGAAAAUCAGGACGUGGAUGUCACUUUUUCACUGAAGUUUUUAGGCCACGCACAUGGACAAUGAAUGUCACCAGGCGAUCCAGCUCUGGAGUAGCCCAUGCGUUUUGACUUGUUGCUGGAGACACAUCUGCUGCCAUGAGAUGCCUCAGCCAAGGAUUUUGAGCCAAGAUAUGAGGGAAAUGGUUUAACCAGAUGUGUGCCCAUGUCUGCAAAACAGAAUUUUAAGAUGCUGAAAUUUAAAAGCUUGCCAUCAUCUCUCCUGCCUCCCAGCAGCAAGGGAAGACUGAAAUCACUGAGAAUGGAAUCCAGUUCAUCUUCUGGCUCUCCAAAUACAGCAACAACAUUUAUGGUCUGAUCUUCAACAGCUUCUUUUGAGCACUAGAAUUUCCAGGUGCAUGUUUUCAGAGCACAAGCAACCUCUUGUCUGUCAUCUCUUGUUUAAACCAAAAAAACUGAAAAGUCAACUGUGAAAAUAUGGAAAAGAAAAGAAAAAAAAAAAAAAAAGGCCUUUGACAUUGGAACAAAGCUUCUUUAACUUGCCUAAUACAAAACAAAGUGGAAUUGUAACAAUGAAUUGAGGAGAUGUGGAUGGUAAAAACAAGGUACUGGCAUUGGAGGUAAGGUAAAACCAGAUCCCAGCGGAAAGCAGUUGGGGGAAGAAGUUUAACAAGUUUGCUUUAUGUGCCACUGUGUCAUGCCUCCUUUUGUUGCUCAAGAAUGUUGCCCCACUGGUUCUUAGGGUGUAAAAGGGCCACGCUACUGAGAGGAUGUGCCCCACAGACCACCAUAUGUGAGCCACUGUUGGGCUGAUUCUGACAGAACGAGUGAUCCUUCUGAAAGCUGUUGUUUUACUUUUAUUGCAGUUGUACUUCAGAUCAGGUACUGAUCAGGGCUUUUGGUCAGAAGUCUUCUGUAGUAAAGUAUUUUGCAGAACAGUACUGUGCAGUGCAAAAGCAUAAUAGGGGGUAGGUAGGCACUUGAACUCAAUAAAGAGAAAUUAAAACGCCUCUCUAGAAAGUGUUCACAGUAGUCAGGAGGUUUGGAAAAUACCUUUAAAGGAGUUUAGGAGAACAAGCGAAAUGAUCUCUAAAACAGUGGAGUUCCCUCUCACCUUUGCUGCUUCCAAAGGAAUGAAACAGGACAAGAGCACUCAUAAACUGUUGUGCGUAUGCACACAAAGCACAGGAGGAGCUUGACAGACCUUGUCAGGAAGGAGUGAGUGCACAAGGAGUGUGUGACAAAUUCUAGCACAUAUAUAUAUCUCUCACCAGUGUGAUCCGUGCCUUGAAGCCAGCCAGGUCAGAGUUUGCACCAUGAACUGACAUUUCUCCUUUCUUCGUACACAUCCUAACCU